rnacentral:rRNA from 1 species
CAGCCGCCGCGGGAAUACGAAGGGGGCUAGCCUUGCUCGGAAUCACUGGGCGUAAAGGGUGCGUAGGCGGGUCUUUAAGUCAGGGGUGAAAUCCUGGAGCUCAACUCCAGAACUGCCUUUGAUACUGAAGAUCUUGAGUUCGGGAGAGGUGAGUGGAACUGCGAGUGUAGAGGUGAAAUUCGUAGAUAUUCGCAAGAACACCAGUGGCGAAGGCGGCUCACUGGCCCGAUACUGGCGCUGAGGCACGAAAGCGUGGGGAGCAAACAGGAUUAGAUACCCCGGUAGUCCCUGUCUCUUAUAC